GCCGGGCACAGUGGCUUGUGCCUGUAAUCCCAGCUCUUUGGGAGGCUGACAUGGGGGGAUUGCUUGAGCCUAGGAGUUCAAGACCAGCCAGGGCAACAUAGUGAGACCCCAUCUCUU
ensembl:misc_RNA Metazoa_SRP Metazoan signal recognition particle RNA